UGGGCCAACUUUGCCUUCUCUCUUGCCGAGCACUUUGGCGGGCUUGGCGUCCUCCACCUCUUGCUGGAGCUCAGUCAUCGGGGCCGCGUCCCGGGCGUACCCCAGGACUUGGCUCCCUACUCGGGGGCACCCCGCUCCCGGCCCUCUGACGCCUUAGCCCUACGCAUCCAGGCGGCCGAGCUCCGGGGCCGCCAACCUGGACACGUUGGAGCCGGCGCGAUUGGUCCGAGCCCGGCUGGAAGAGCCCAGAGGGAGGGAAGAGGAGGGUCGAAGCAAAGUGACAGCCCUUUUCCCCAACCCAGGAGGCAGAGGGAGAGCAAAUGGAAACCUGUUGAACUCGUCUUUCUGGGAGAAGACGCUAAUUGGCCAAGCAGGACAUCUGAUAUGUGACCCCCUGUGAAAGCGCCAUGGGACCACAACAGGGUCAUAACCCACAGGUUGAGAACCACUGCUUUAAGGUGUGCUGGAACUACAUAGAGAUGCACUGCUGUGUCUGUUUUAACAUGGCUAUGGAGGGCAGGGCCAUUAAAGUCAGGUUUCUAUGCUUGUAUGACAAACACUGUAUCCACUGAGCCAUCUCCACAGCCCAUGUAUCCCUAGUGUGCAAUUACUGUAAAAAAAAGAAAGCAAGGGCUGGAGAGAUGGCUCAGAGGUUAAGA